AGUAGACUACCCGACGACUGGCAUUCAUCGUUUACGGUGUGGACUACCAGGGUAUCUAAUCCUGUUUGCUCCCCACACUUUCGCACCUCAGCGUCAGUAUCGAGCCAGUGAGCCGCCUUCGCCACUGGUGUUCCUCCAAAUAUCUACGAAUUUCACCUCUACACUUGGAAUUCCACUCACCUCUCUCGAACUCAAGACUGGGAGUUUUAAAGGCAGUUCCAGGGUUGAGCCCUGGGAUUUCACCUCUAACUUUCCAAUCCGCCUACGUGCGCUUUACGCCCAGUAAUUCCGAACAACGCUAACCCCCUCCGUAUUACCGCGGCUGCUGGCACGGAGUUAGCCGGGGUUUCUUUACCAGGUACUGUCAUUAUCAUCCCUGGCGAAAGAGCUUUACGACCCUAAGGCCUUCUUCACUCACGCGGCAUGGCUAGAUCAGGCUUGCGCCCAUUGUCUAAGAUUCCCCACUGCUGCCUCCCGUAGGAGUCUGGGCCGUGUCUCAGUCCCAGUGUUGCUGAUCAUCCUCUAAAACCAGCUAUAGAUCGUAGACUUGGUAGGCCAUUACCCCACCAACUAUCUAAUCUAACGCGGGCCGAUCCUUCUCCGAUAAAUCUUUCCCCCGAAGGGCGUAUACGGUAUUACUCUUCGUUUCCAAAGGCUAUUCCGUAGAAAAGGGUACGCUCCCACGCGUUACUAACCCGUCCGCCGCUAGACCCGAAGGUCUCGCUCGACUUGCAUGUGUUAGGCCUGCCGCCAGCGUUCGUUCUGAGCCAGGAUCAAACUCU
rnacentral:rRNA from 1 species